GACGAACGCUGGCGGCGUGCCUAACACAUGCAAGUCGAACGGGGUGAUUUCCUUCGGGAGAUCACUUAGUGGCAAACGGGUGAGUAACGCGUGAGAAACCUGCCUUUCAGUGGGGGACAACAGUUGGAAACGACUGCUAAUGCCGCAUAAUGUUAUUUAGGGGCAUCCCUGAAUAACCAAAGCUUUAUGUGCUGAAAGAUGGUCUCGCGUCUGAUUAGCUAGUUGGUGAGGUAACGGCUCACCAAGGCGACGAUCAGUAGCCGGUCUGAGAGGAUGAACGGCCACAUUGGGACUGAGAUACGGCCCAGACUCCUACGGGAGGCAGCAGUGGGGAAUAUUGGGCAAUGGGGGGAAACCCUGACCCAGCAACGCCGCGUGAAGGAAGAAGGCCU
rnacentral:rRNA from 1 species